UGUCUUCAGGGCAGGGUGUAAUUCCCGACCGGCGGUACAGUCCGCGAGCCGAAACGUUCAUUCGUCAGGCAUGAACCGGUGUGAUUCCGGUACCGACAGUAGAGUCUGGAUGGAAGAAGAU
rnacentral:ncRNA from 1 species